UACGUAGGGGGCAAGCGUUGUCCGGAUUUAUUGGGCGUAAAGAGCGUGUAGGCGGCCAGGUAGGUCCGUUGUGAAAACUCGAGGCUCAACCUCGAGACGUCGAUGGAAACCAUCUGGCUAGAGUCCGGAAGAGGAGAGUGGAAUUCCUGGUGUAGCGGUGAAAUGCGCAGAUAUCAGGAAGAACACCCGUGGCGAAGGCGGCUCUCUGGUACGUGACUGACGCUGAGACGCGAAAGCGUGGGGAGCGAACAGG
rnacentral:rRNA from 1 species